UUGGUGAUUCAUGAUAACUUUUCGAAACGCAUAACUUUAUGUUGGCGAUGGUUCAUUCAAAUUUCUGCCCUAUCAACUUUUGAUGGUAGGAUAGAGGCCUACCAUGGUUUUAACGGGUAACGGCGAAUUAGGGUUCGAUUCCGGAGAGGGAGCCUGAGAAAUGGCUACCACAUCUAAGGAAGGCAGCAGGCGCGCAAAUUACCCAAUCCUAAUUCAGGGAGGUAGUGACAAUAAAUAACAAUCCAGGGCUUAGGUCUUGGAAUUGGAAUGAAAACAAUUUAAAUCUCUUAGUGAGGAACAAUUGGAGGGCAAGUCUGGUGCCAGCAGCCGCGGUAAUUCCAGCUCCAAUAGCGUAUAUUAAAGUUGUUGCAGUUAAAUAGCCCGUAGUUGUAUCUUAAAAUUUUUGCUGGUUGGGUCUUUGGCCUAAACUAUCAUGAAAUUUUUGUUUUGGAUAGGGAUGAUGUGCUUUACUGUGUGUCAUUUUGAACCAAAAGUUUUACUUUGAAAAAAUUAGAGUGUUUAAAGCAAGCAUUUGCAUGAAUAUAUUAGCAUGGAAUAAUAAAAUAAGACUUUGGUUCUAUUUUGUUGGUUUCUAGGACUGAAGUAAUGAUUAAUAGGGACAGUUGGGGGCAUUAGUAUUUAAUUGUCAGAGGUGAAAUUCUUGGAUUUAUGAAAGACUAACUUCUGCGAAAGCAUCUGCCAAGGAUGUUUUCAUUAAUCAAGGACGAAAGUCAGGGGAUCGAAAACGAUUAGAUACCGUUGUAGUCCUGACCAUAAACUAUGCCAACUAGGGAUCAGACAAGGAUUGUAAGACUUGUUUGGCACCUUAUGAGAAAUCAAAGUCUUUGGGUACCGGGGGGAGUAUGGUCGCAAGGCUGAAACUUAAAGGAAUUGACGGAAGGGCACCACCAGGAGUGGAGCCUGCGGCUUAAUUUGACUCAACACGGGGAAACUCACCAGGUCCAGACAUGGUAAGGAUUGACAGAUUGAGAGCUCUUUCUUGAUUCUAUGGGUGGUGGUGCAUGGCCGUUCUUAGUUGGUGGAGUGAUUUGUCUGGUUAAUUCCGAUAACGAACGAGACCUUAACCUGCUAAAUAGUUUAUCUCACUUUGGUGAGUAUAAUCUUCUUAGAGGGACAAUGUAUAUUUAGUACAUGGAAGUUUGAGGCAAUAACAGGUCUGUGAUGCCCUUAGAUGUUCUGGGCCGCACGCGCGCUACACUGACAAAGGCAGCAAGUAUUGACCUUAACUGGAAAGUUUGGGUAAUCUUUUGAAUCUUUGUUGUGUUGGGGAUAGUCCCUUGCAAUUUUUGGACUUAAACGAGGAAUUCCUAGUAAGUGCAAGUCAUCAGCUUGUGUUGAUUAUGUCCCUGCCCUUUGUACACACCGCCCGUCGCUACUACCGAUUGAAUGGCUUAGUGAGACCUCCAGAUUGAGUUAAUCAUCUUUGGGUGAAUUGGUUUAAAAAGUUGGUCAAACUUGGUCA
rnacentral:rRNA from 1 species